UUUAAUUGGGCAAUUGCUAAUUAAUCAAAUCAAAAGCCAUGGAAAAUCUCAAAAGGGCAUUUGUAUUUGCAAUAUUUUGUAUCAUCUUAGCAAAUUUUAUUGAAGCAAAUAUUGUUGAAAGUAAACUUUCAUGCCAUGCCUUAUGCAGACUUGCAUGUUUAAGUUCUCCUCAACCUGCUGUUUGCAAUAGUGAAUGUGAGAAAAGAUGUAAAAUUCAUAGUGUUUAUGAAGCUAUGAUUCAUAACACUAGUUGUUAUGAGCGAUGCUCCGUCAUCACAGAUAAAAAGAAACUAGAAGGCUGCUUUGAUGAUUGUACAACCAAAUAUUACAAAGUCAAAAGGAGUAUUAUAAAUUAAUGCUACUAUAUAUAUUUAAUUUGCAUCAUCCAACCAACUUUAUGAAUACUAUGUUAUGAUUAUGAAGAACUAUAUUUGUUUCUAAUGUAAUUGACUUUACCUUUUGGUGUUCUAAUCUUUUCCAAUUUCUUUUUUAA